GAUGAAGAACGUAGCGAAAUGCGAUAAGUAGUGUGAAUUGCAGAAUUCAGUGAAUCAUCGAAUCUUUGAACGCACAUUGCGCCCCUUGGUAUUCCAUGGGGCAUGCCUGUUCGAGCGUCAUUUGUACCUUCAAGCUUUGCUUGGUGUUGGGUGUUUGUCCCUCGGGACUCGCCUUAAAGUCAUUGGCAGCCAGUGUUUUGGUUUUGAAGCGCAGCACAAGUCGCGAUUCAAGGCUAUCCGCCCGCUUCCACAAGCCUUUUUCACUUUUGACCUCGGAUCAGGUAGGGAUACCCGCUGAACUUAAGCAUAUCAUAAGCGGAGGA
rnacentral:misc_RNA from 1 species